AUUGAACGCUGGCGGCAGGCCUAACACAUGCAAGUCGAGCGGAUGAAGAGAGCUUGCUCUCUGAUUUAGCGGCGGACGGGUGAGUAAUGCCUAGGAAUCUGCCUGGUAGUGGGGGAUGACGUUCCGAAAGGAACGCUAAUACCGCGUACGUCCUACGGGAGAAAGCAGGGGACCUUCGGGCCUUGCGCUAUCAGAUGAGCCUAGGUCGGAUUAGCUAGUUGGUGAGGUAAUGGCUCACCAAGGCGACGAUCCGUAACUGGUCUGAGAGGAUGAUCAGUCACACUGGAACUGAGACACGGUCCAGACUCCUACGGGAGGCAGCAGUGGGGAAUAUUGGACAAUGGGCGAAAGCCUGAUCCAGCCAUGCCGCGUGUGUGAAGAAGGUCUUCGGAUUGUAAAGCACUUUAAGUUGGGAGGAAGGGCAGUAAGUUAAUACCUUGCUGUUUUGACGUUACCGACAGAAUAAGCACCGGCUAACUUCGUGCCAGCAGCCGCGGUAAGAC
rnacentral:rRNA from 1 species